UACGUAGGGGGCAAGCGUUAUCCGGAUUUACUGGGUGUAAAGGGAGCGUAGACGGUGAUGCAAGUCAGAAGUGAAAGCCCGGGGCUCAACUCCGGGACUGCUUUUGAAACUGUGUGACUGGAGUGCAGGAGAGGUAAGCGGAAUUCCUGGUGUAGCGGUGAAAUGCGUAGAUAUCAGGAGGAACACCAGUGGCGAAGGCGACCUGCUAGAACAUAACUGACGCUGAUGCGCGAAAGCGUGGGGAGCAAACAGG
rnacentral:rRNA from 1 species